rnacentral:rRNA from 1 species
AGACGUUGGAAAUUUAUUUUCAGUGUCGCAGGGAAACCGAUAAACACACCGCCUGGGGAGUACGACCGCAAGGUUAAAACUCAAAUGAAUUGACGGGGACCCGCACAAGUAGUGGAGCAUGUGGUUUAAUUCGAAGAUACGCGCAGAACCUUACCAACACUUGACAUGUUCGUCGCGACUCUAAGAGAUUAGAGUUUUCGGUUCGGCCGGACAAAACACAGGUGCUGCAUGGCUGUCGUCAGCUCGUGUCGUGAGAUGUUGGGUUAAGUCCCGCAACGAGCGCAACCCUCACUUUUAGUUGCCAUCAUUAAGUUGGGCACUCUGAAAGAACUGCCAGUGAUAAGCUGGAGGAAGGUGGGGAUGACGUCAAGUCCUCAUGGCCCUUACGUGUUGGGCUACACACGUGCUACAAUGGCAUCUACAACAGGAAGCAAAACGGCAACGUUAAGCAAAUCCCGAAAAGAUGCCUCAGUUCGGAUUGCACUCUGCAACUCGAGUGCAUGAAGCUGGAAUUACUAGUAAUCGUGGAUCAGCGUGCCACGGUGAAUGCGUUCCCGGGUCUUGUACACACCGCCCGUCACACCAUGGGAGUUGGUUCUACCUUAAGGCAAGGUUUUAAACCCUUGACCACGGUAUAGUCAGCGACUGGGGUG